rnacentral:tRNA from 1 species
GCUGCGCCAUAGCUCAGUCGGUUAGAGCGUGGGUCUAAUAAGCCCAAGGUCGCAGGUUCGACCCCUGCCGGCGGCC